rnacentral:lncRNA from 1 species
CAAAAUCCCCACCUAACCAACCGCUACACACCAACUCCGUAAAUCCCAUAUACACUAAACCCUUUCCAGCCUCUACGCACCAAUAUUGGGUUAUGGUGGACCCAUCCAACAAUACACACCAUAGAGUGGUCGUUGCCACUUGUAUUAUUGCAGGUUUACCGUUAAUUAUGCAGUUCAAUUACCACAAACAAACUUUCUUUUCUUC